UACAGAGACUGUCUGUCUAUGUAUGUAUGUAUGUAGUCUGUCUAUGUAUGUAUGUAUGUAGUCUGUUUGACUACCUACAUACAUACAUACAUACACAGACAGACAGACAGACUACAUA